rnacentral:rRNA from 1 species
AACUCGCCUGCAUGAAGUUGGAAUUGCUAGUAAUCGCGAGUCAGAAUGUCGCGGUGAAUACGUUCCCGGGCCUUGUGCACACCGCCCGUCACACCAUGAGAGUCGAUAACACCCGAAGCCUGUGAGCUAACCUUUUAGGAGGCAGCAGUCGAAGGUGGGGUUGAUGAUUGGGGUGAAGUCGUAACAAGGUACC